rnacentral:rRNA from 1 species
CGAAGUAGCAAUACUUAGUGGCAGACGGGUGAGUAACAUGUAGGUAUCUGCCCUUUGGCCUGGAAUAACACGAGGAAACUUGUGCUAAUACCGGAUAAGUCUUUACGGAGAAAGCUUUAUGCACCAUUGGAUGAGCCUGCACUUGAUUAGUUUGUUGGUGGGGUAAUGGCCUACCAAGACUUUGAUCAAUAGCUGAUUUGAGAGGAUGAUCAGCCACAUUGGGACUGAGACACGGCCCAAACUCCUACGGGAGGCAGCAGUGGGGAAUCUUGCACAAUGGAGGAAACUCUGAUGCAGCGAUGCCGCGUGAGUGAAGAAGGCCUUUGGGUUGUAAAGCUCUUUCGUCGGGGAAGAAAAUGACUGUACCCGAAUAAGAAGGUCCGGC